AACAAUAUUAACAUCACCUUUUGGUAGAUAAGGAAAGUCUAAGACCGGACAACUUGUUCAAGGACACAAAGCCAACAUGUGUUAGAACCAGGACCUGCCGGAUCAGUCACAUAAGGCUUAGAGGAUCAAGGAUCCUGCCCAGAUGACUUACCGAAAUGUUACAGAUUAAGUUGGUGUGGUAACCUGGGCUGAGCACUCUGGGAGAGGAAGAGAAGAGAGAAGACAGGAAACAACUGAACUAUGACCAAUCCCAGCACGGAGGCCCAGAAAACUUUAAGAUUUGAGUAUUAAUGUCUCAAGGUCAGGAGCAACCUCAAGGCUAAAACUCAGAUCUCAGGACUCAAUUUCACAGAAGUUCCACUAUAAAG
rnacentral:lncRNA from 1 species